AACCAUCUCAGCCACCAGCCAGAUGGUCAGCACGACAAUGAGCACGUACAUCAUGAUCUCAGACACAAUGGAGGCCAUGUCCCUGUUGGCUGCAAGGGGGAGCAAUUCUUAAAGACCAUUAAGUUUUAGAAGGCUGGUUCGCCGUCAUGGAUCCUUGUAUUCUUAAACACCUGUCCCAUCUCUCCGGUCAGAUUUCAUUUCUGUGGGAAGAGCCCGUGUUUCAGACUUUCCCCAAUUCUGUCCUCACACCUAGUACAGGCACAUAGCAUAGGCUUGGCCAGUACGGUUUUAAUGAGACAAAAAUACAUAAAAAGCAGAUGAUUCUGGAGGAAGGCAAUAUAGACAGAGCAAAUACACUGAGUCUGGGAGGCCAAGAUUCCCAUUAAGUUUGACUCAGGAGGGCAAACGAAAAGGAUGCUUGAGAGGAAUAGGAUUCAAGGCUACAUACGUAGGAAAGAAAUUCAUAGAUUUCAUUGGAUAUUAAAGUUGGUUGGACCUGAAGGAACAGCGAUGGUCUGAUUCCUUCAUUUUACAAAACUUGCCCAGGAACAAUGACGUAGGAAUUCCUUUCAAAGAUCAAGUCUAGGCAAAAGGAAUCAUUACUUUGGAGUGUGGUGAAAACCUCCUUAUUUCUCCAAGAGAUGGCACUGAUGGAGAAUAGAAAUAGGCUCAAAGAAGUUUUAGAGAAGUUCCCAGAUGAUAAAAUACAGUGGAUUUUGGGAUUCAAGGGAAUCUGGGAUGUCUGAGGAGGAUAUCAACUUCAUCACUUCUAGAAGGAAUUACUUCAAAUACCCUCUAACUGGUCUCCAAUCUCCAUUGCCAACUCGACUUUUCUAAACUGGACCUGUCUACCCAGUGGCUCCCUUUGACCCCCAGGAUUAAAUUGGCAUUUAAACUCUCCAUAUUGUGGCCCCUUCCCACUCUCCUCCACAAACUCCACCUUCCAGGGACUGGUCUCCUGGGGCUUCCUCAAGCGGCAUACUACACCUGCUCUUCCACACCUGGAAUUCUAUUCUCUCUCACUUCUGCCUCUUAAUUUCCCCUGAUUUCCUUCAAGACUCAGUUCAAAUCUCACCCACCACAAGGGGCCUGUCCCCCUCCCCACAUUCUCUGUUUCCCCAGAUAUUUUCUUUCUUCCCAGAUGGAGUCUUCAGUGCCAGACACAUAAUGAGUAUUCAAUAAAUUCUAGUUGUCUGA